GGGGUUUCGCCGCCCUGCGGAACGCCGGGAAGGGGUCACUGCCAGAGGAAGGUUCCGGUUCCGGUUCAAGUAGUGGUUGAGUUGCUACGGCAACGCGGCUGGCGGGUUCCUCCGUGGCAGGCGGUAACUGGGCUGGAGGAGGCCUAGUGCACCUUUCCCAGCCUUGGUGAGCGGCUCCGGUGCCUCCCUAAGGCCGCGACCGAAUGCGGCCGUUCUUGGCGGAAGCCGGGCCGGGCACUGGCGGACAGGCCUGCCCGGGGUUGCGUCAUCGGGCCUGGCCACACGUCCCAGCUCUCCUGGCCCCGCCGCCCACGUGGGGGGGCAGGUCCAGACCCGGCCCGCUGGCUCCGGCCUCUGGCUCUCGUUUAUUUCUCUAAAGAAAAAAAAGAAAACCCUUUUAUUUUAGAAGUUUGUAAAGCGCUCUCGUCUGAUGACCCCACCGGGGUUUGGGGUUCGCUGACCUUCCUCCCCGUUGAAUGGGCAACGGAGACGGGAACUGGCUCGUUGGACUAACGUUUUGUGAGCAGGUAAAUCAGAGGCACUGGCACCAGGAACGGAAAUACACAGGAAACGGCCGAUGCAGAAGCAGAACCGAAGUCCAGCAUGUGGUGCAUUUAACAGUAGAGAAUAUAUUGUUUCCCAAACCACCUAACUUUCACUCAUGCUUGUAUUAUAGUAAGAUGUGUAGGGUUUUUAAAAUAAAUAUUGGCGAUUUGCUCCUGAAAA